rnacentral:lncRNA from 1 species
UUUUCCUUUUCUGACUCUCUGUAGCCAUUCACUAAAUGAUUUAAGAUGUUGAAAAUAUAGGAUAACAAGUAGCUUGUUAAAAGAAAACGUACAAUGUGCCAGCUCCAGUGGGUUGAGUAAGGCUAUAAUCUUUAAAGUUGGUUGGACGUGUUUUAGCAAGCUAUAUUUUUCACAAGGAAAAAGACACAAAAGCUGCAAGAGAGCCUCACUACUCAAUCAAGAAAGUAAAAAAAUUCCUUAGCUCUUAGUUUAAAAGAUCAGACUAUUCCACGUUAACUUCUUUAGACUGAUAAUUGUGAAGAGACUAUAAUUUAAAACAGGUUUGUGCUUCUAAACCUGCAGUUAAUUUCCAUUAAAAAAGCAUUAAAACCUUAGAAUUAAAAGAACAAAACUCAAAUGAAAUAUUUGGAAACAUCUCAGUUAAACUGCUUCAAAUCAUCCAAGCCCAGGGCUCUGCUUUUCCUCGGUAAUCAGCCAGCAAAACCCCCCAAAGGCUCACUUUCAUCUUGAUUUGGAAUGAGAGCAAAAUGAAAAAUAAAAAGAGAAACCUCUUUCCAGCGAGGAAACCUUUCCAAGCCCUGCUGGGAAAGCUGAGCAUUCACCCUCCAUCCAUUCCUGCAGAUACAGGAGGCUUCCCAAAGGCACCUGCUGCCAGCCAUGCCUCUAUCAACAUCCUCCCUCCCUCCAGUUUUUCGCUUUGGCAGAGGAACAGUUUCCCCAGUCGCUGUUUUCCAGCACUAGUGCACUGCAUUAAAGUGCAUUAAAGCACACCGGGUUUCAGGCAGGGUAAAUGCCGGUGCUGCAAGUUGCUUUGGAGACGGUGUUACUCAGGUUUACCUCUCAGCCACUGCGCUCCCUUCCAGCAGGCCCUCUCCCUGGGGAAGGGGCGAGCUCUCCCCUCAGGUAGCCGGAUGUCGCGUCAGCCGACGACAGCAGGAUGGUGCUUUGGCAUGGCUGCAGGCACCGCGCCGGGCGAGGAGGGCGGUAAGCGAAGCACCCUGGCCAACUGUCCUGUCUC